rnacentral:misc_RNA from 1 species
CAGCGCGAGGCCAGUGGCUGCAGCGGCCGGGCGCACGACGAGGGCGGGGCGGCCCCGGGAGCAGAGUGGGCUCUCCGCCCGGAGAUUCAUCUCCAUUGCCGGCGGCAAAACCUCCCCCUCGCUCACUCCACCUGAUCCCCCUCCUCGGCUCAAGAAAAGAAAAGACCGUCUCCUCUUCCCUCUCCCUUGCUCAGUAUUUUACUCCAUCCUCCACACGUAAUUUGCAUCCAAAUGCGCAGCUGGGCUGUCUAGACGAAGCGCUCGCCCAGUCGCCCCUCGCCAGAGACAGAGAGGCUCUCCUCCUCCUCGGCCGCUCGAUCGAGAGGGAAAAGG